UUAAGUUAAUAAGGGCGCACGGUGGAUGCCUUGGCACUAGGAGCCGACGAAGGACGUGACAAACGACGAUAUGCCUUGGGUAGCUGUAAGUAAGCGAUGAUCCAGGGAUUUCCGAAUGGGGGAACCCAACAGGUAAUACCUGUUACCUACAUCUGUUAAGGAUGUGAGGAGGAAGACGCAGUGAACUGAAACAUCUAAGUAGCUGCAGGAAGAGAAAGCAAAAGCGAUUGCCUUAGUAGCGGCGAGCGAAACGGCAGAAGGGCAAACCGAAGAGUUUACUCUUCGGGGUUGUAGGACUGCAAUGUGGACUCAAAGAUUAUAGAAGAAUGAUUUGGGAAGAUCAGCCAAAGAGAGUAAUAGCCUCGUAUUUAAAAUAGUCUUUGUACUUAGCAGUAUCCUGAGUACGGCGGGACACGUGAAAUCCCGUCGGAAUCUGGGAGGACCAUCUCCCAACCCUAAAUACUCCCUAGUGACCGAUAGUGAACCAGUACCGUGAGGGAAAGGUGAAAAGCACCCCGGGAGGGGAGUGAAAUAGAACCUGAAACCGUGUGCCUACAACAAGUUCGAGCCCGUUAAUGGGUGAGAGCGUGCCUUUUGUAGAAUGAACCGGCGAGUUACGUUAUGAUGCGAGGUUAAGUUGAAGAGACGGAGCCGUAGGGAAACCGAGUCUGAAUAGGGCGCCUUAGUAUCAUGACGUAGACCCGAAACCAUGUGACCUACCCAUGAGCAGGUUGAAGGUGCGGUAAGACGCACUGGAGGACCGAACCAGGGCACGUUGAAAAGUGCUUGGAUGACUUGUGGGUAGCGGAGAAAUUCCAAACGAACUUGGAGAUAGCUGGUUCUCUCCGAAAUAGCUUUAGGGCUAGCGUCGACAUUAGAGAUUCUUGGAGGUAGAGCACUGUUUGGGUGAGGGGUCCAUCCCGGAUUACCAAUACUCAGAUAAACUCCGAAUGCCAAUGAAUUAUGGUCGGCAGUCAGACUGCGAGUGCUAAGAUCCGUAGUCGAAGGGAAACAGCCCAGACCACCAGCUAAGGUCCCAAAAUAAUUGUUAAGUGGAAAAGGAUGUGGGGUUGCACAGACAACUAGGAUGUUAGCUUAGAAGCAGCUAUUCAUUCAAAGAGUGCGUAAUAGCUCACUAGUCGAGUGACCCUGCGCCGAAAAUGUACCGGGGCUAAAACAAUUUACCGAAGCUGUGGAUACCUUUAUAGGUAUGGUAGGAGAGCGUUCUAUGUGUGAUGAAGGUAUACCGUGAGGAGUGCUGGAACGCAUAGAAGUGAGAAUGCCGGUAUGAGUAGCGAAAGACAGGUGAGAAUCCUGUCCACCGUAAGACUAAGGUUUCCAGGGGAAGGCUCGUCCGCCCUGGGUUAGUCGGGACCUAAGGAGAGACCGAAAGGUGUAUCCGAUGGACAACAGGUUGAUAUUCCUGUACUAGAGUAUGUAGUGAUGGAGGGACGCAGUAGGCUAACUAAAGCAGACGAUUGGAAGAGUCUGUCUAAGCAGUGAGGUGUGAAUUGAGUCAAAUGCUUAAUUCUAUAACAUUGAGCUGUGAUGGGGAGCGAAGUUUAGUAGCGAAGUUAGUGACGUCACACUGCCAAGAAAAGCUUCUAGCGUUUAAACAUACUCUACCCGUACCGCAAACCGACACAGGUAGUCGAGGCGAGUAGCCUCAGGUGAGCGAGAGAACUCUCGUUAAGGAACUCGGCAAAAUGACCCCGUAACUUCGGGAGAAGGGGUGCUGACUUAAAGUCAGCCGCAGUGAAUAGGCCCAAGCAACUGUUUAUCAAAAACACAGCUCUCUGCUAAAUCGUAAGAUGAUGUAUAGGGGGUGACGCCUGCCCGGUGCUGGAAGGUUAAGAGGAGUGCUUAGCGUAAGCGAAGGUAUGAAUUGAAGCCCCAGUAAACGGCGGCCGUAACUAUAACGGUCCUAAGGUAGCGAAAUUCCUUGUCGGGUAAGUUCCGACCCGCACGAAAGGCGUAAUGAUUUGGGCACUGUCUCAACGAGAGACUCGGUGAAAUUUUAGUACCUGUGAAGAUGCAGGUUACCCGCGACAGGACGGAAAGACCCCAUGGAGCUUUACUGCAGUUUGAUAUUGAGUGUCUGUACCACAUGUACAGGAUAGGUAGGAGUCUAAGAGAUCGGGACGCCAGUUUCGAAGGAGACGCUGUUGGGAUACUACCCUUGUGUUAUGGCCACUCUAACCCAGAUAGGUGAUCCCUAUCGGAGACAGUGUCUGACGGGCAGUUUGACUGGGGCGGUCGCCUCCUAAAAGGUAACGGAGGCGCCCAAAGGUUCCCUCAGAAUGGUUGGAAAUCAUUCGCAGAGUGUAAAGGUAUAAGGGAGCUUGACUGCGAGAGCUACAACUCGAGCAGGGACGAAAGUCGGGCUUAGUGAUCCGGUGGUUCCGUAUGGAAGGGCCAUCGCUCAACGGAUAAAAGCUACCCUGGGGAUAACAGGCUUAUCUCCCCCAAGAGUUCACAUCGACGGGGAGGUUUGGCACCUCGAUGUCGGCUCGUCGCAUCCUGGGGCUGUAGUCGGUCCCAAGGGUUGGGCUGUUCGCCCAUUAAAGCGGCACGCGAGCUGGGUUCAGAACGUCGUGAGACAGUUCGGUCCCUAUCCGUCGCGGGCGUAGGAAAUUUGAGAGGAUCUGCUCCUAGUACGAGAGGACCAGAGUGGACUUACCGCUGGUGUACCAGUUGUCUUGCCAAAGGCAUCGCUGGGUAGCUAUGUAGGGAAGGGAUAAACGCUGAAAGCAUCUAAGUGUGAAACCCACCUCAAGAUGAGAUUUCCCAUGAUUAUAUAUCAGUAAGAGCCCUGAGAGAUGAUCAGGUAGAUAGGUUAGAAGUGGAAGUGUGGCGACACAUGUAGCGGACUAAUACUAAUAGCUCGAGGACUUAUCCAA
rnacentral:rRNA from 1 species